rnacentral:snRNA from 1 species
AGCUUUGCGCAGUGGCAGUAUCGUAGCCAAUGAGGUUUAUCCGAGGAGCGAUUAUUGCUAAUUGAAAAAAAGGAAACCCAUCUAUAUGCAGCCUACAAGAGGCUUAUUUCAGACGUAAAGCCAUAUG